rnacentral:rRNA from 1 species
UACGUAGGGAGCAAGCGUUGUCCGGAAUCAUUGGGCGUAAAGAGCGCGUAGGCGGUCCGGUAAGUCGGUUGUGAAAACUGGGGGCUCAACCCUCAGAGGCCGACCGAUACUGCCGGGCUAGAGUCCGGAAGAGGCGAGUGGAAUUCCUGGUGUAGCGGUGAAAUGCGCAGAUAUCAGGAGGAACACCAAUGGCGAAGGCAGCACUCUGGGACGUGACUGACGCUGAGACGCGAAAGCGUGGGGAGCAAACAGG